rnacentral:tRNA from 1 species
ACGCUUUUUGAGCUUGGUGCAACGGACUUAAAAUCCGUUGUCCGAAAGGACGUGCGGGUUCGAUCCCCGCUCCGGGUACCA